GCUGCCAGAUAUUUGGCCCGUGAGAAUCUAUCACGCCGGCCAAAGUUGAUUUUCCACGAGAGUGAGAUUUGCUUUCUGAAAAACUAUUUCCCAAAUGUCAGUAUCUGUUACUUAUACGUCCUUGUGGUUUUUAUUACUAAGACUGAGUCCCAGUGCUUACUGUCGUUGUUGGGUGUUCUCGUGUUUCUGCUUCCCUGCCCCCCAACAUUGGCGGGUGUUAGAAUCAAAAGCAAACGGAGACCUGCUUUGAAAAUCCCCUGAGCAGACAAAACCAGUUUGGUUAUACAGAGAUUAAUGUUUAUUUUGCAAGACAGCCCGACCUGGGCCACCUCUCGCUUAGGCCCCUGGAAAUCGCGAACAAAACCUUUCUUUCCCAAACGUUUCCCAAAAGUUGCUAUGAGCUAACCACUCACCAAUUCUGUGUCGUUAAAGAAAGUUCUAAUGUUGUGACGACUCACUGUGAAUCUCGAAGUCCCUGCCUCCUCACCUCCUGCGCGGCUGUCUGGAAAUGCGCCCCUGAGCCCGUCUAUGCUCUGGUUAAGUGCUCCCAGCUUGGAAACGGUCUUUUGGCGAACGCGCGGUCCGUCUUUACUAAUUGCUACUUCAGUCACUCGCUGCACUUUUGUCAGUGUUCACCAGAGAGUGUCGUGCGGGACGUUUUUGGAACGAGUACAUGCCACCCUCCAAGAGGAGGGGUUUUAUCACCCUUACGCGGCGUCUUCCUGACGAGCCUCACCACUUUCCAGAAGAGAGUUAGCAUAGGAGGCCCCCUCAAAGUUUUUGACCUCAAAAGGCUUUUUCCCGAUCCUUUGUCUCAGCGCAUGUGACAUGGAGCACGCCCGGGGAAGAGUCUCAUCGGAGCGAGUGUUUGGGGACAGUGUGACGCAGAGGUGUUAAGAGCCCGAGAAAUGCUCUCCUUUAGACCAUGGCCUCCAGGGGCUGCGUCAGCGCUGCUCCUUUGGUAAGAAAUCCACUCCGACUCUCUUUUUUCAGGUACGAACAGUUCACAGUUCACGCACAGAUGGCUUGUUUCUGAAUUCAAAAUGCCACAACUUUUUGUAAAAACCAUUGAAAUUGUCCAAAUAUACAUGCAAAAAGAAUAGUUUUAUGAACGUCCAUA